AUGCCUUCUUCAAAGGGGGAAGUAGCAACCUACCCAGGAGAUAUCACCACGCAGGGGACAUCACCACCCAGGGGACACCACCCACCCAAGAGACACCACCCACCCAAGAGACAUCACCACCCAGGAGACAUCACACCCAGGGGACAUCACACCCAGGAGACACUACCACGUGGGGGACAUCAACCACCCAGGGGACAUCACCACCCAGAGACAUCACCAUGUGGGGGACAUCACCACCCGGGGGAAAUCACCACCCAGGAGACAUCACCACCCAGGAGACACCACCCACCCGGAGACACUACCCACCCAGGAGACACUACCACGUGGGGGACAUCACCACUCAGGGGACAUCAUCACCCAGGGGACAUCACCACCCAGGGGACACCACCCACCCGGAGACACUACCUACCCAGAAGACAUCACCACGUGGGGGACAUCACCACCCAGGGGACAUCACCUACCCAGGAGAAAUCACCACCCAGGAGACAUCACCCACCCAAGAGACAUCACCACCCAGGGGACAUCACCACGUGGGGGACAUCACCACCCAGAAGACAUCACCACCCGGAGACAUCACCACGUGGGGGACAUCACCACGUGGGGGACAUCACCACCCGAGGGACAUCACCACCCAGGGGACAUCACCUACCCAGGAGGGCAGGUAGAGGAAGCUUCUUCCUGACACACUUCAUCACCCAGGCUGACACUGAAGUCUCAAGUCCAGGACACAACCAAAUAUUUUUGGCAACAACAGAGAUACGUAGAGACGGAAAGUUUUAUUCCCCAGAAUGGCAGGGACCGCUCCCCAUAACCGAAAGAUGGUGUGGGCACUGGGGCUGCACCUCCAGGAGGUAA
rnacentral:lncRNA from 1 species